rnacentral:rRNA from 1 species
UUAAAUUGAAGAGUUUGAUCAUGGCUCAGAUUGAACGCUGGCGGCAGGCCUAACACAUGCAAGUCGAACGGUAACAGGAAGAAGCUUGCUUCUUUGCUGACGAGUGGCGGA